rnacentral:misc_RNA from 1 species
UCUCGGCUUAUCACCGGCGGUCCCCUUAGAGUGCCCAACUUAAUGAUGGCAACUAAGGGCGAGGGUUGCGCUCGUUGCGGGACUUAACCCAACAUCUCACGACGCGAGCUGACGACAGCCAUGCAGCAUCUGUGCAGGUGCCCCGAAGGGAGACCGUGUUUCCACGGCUGUCACCUGCAUGUCAAGCCCAGGUAAGGUUCUUCGCGUUGCAUCGAAUUAAGCCACAUGCUCCGCCGCUUGUGCGGGUCCCCGUCAAUUCCUUUGAGUUUUAGCCUUGCGGCCGUACUCCCCAGGCGGGGAACUUAAUGCGUUAGCUUCGGCACGGACGGAGUCGACACCGCCCACACCUAGUUCCCAUCGUUUACGGCGUGGACUAC